rnacentral:rRNA from 1 species
CGGCCGCGUCGACCAUGGCUCAGAUUGAACGCUGGCGGCAGGCUUAACACAUGCAAGUCGAGCGGAAACGAUGAUAGCUUGCUAUCAGGCGUCGAGCGGCGGACGGGUGAGUAAUACUUAGGAAUCUACCUAGUAGUGGGGGAUAGCUCGGGGAAACUCGAAUUAAUACCGCAUACGACCUACGGGAGAAGGGGGCAACUUGUUGCUCUCGCUAUUAGAUGAGCCUAAGUCGGAUUAGCUAGAUGGUGGGGUAAAGGCCUACCAUGGCGACGAUCUGUAGCUGGUCUGAGAGGAUGAUCAGCCACACCGGGACUGAGACACGGCCCCGGACUCCUACGGGAGGCAGCAGUGGGGAAUAUUGGACAAUGGGGGCAACCCUGAUCCAGCCAUGCCGCGUGUGUGAACGAAGGCCUUUUGGUUGUAAAGCACGUCGACGCGGCCG